GAAGAGAGCAGUGGUUUGUUAGCUGUGUUGUGGAUAAGGAGUAGGAGUCAGUGCUGCAAAGAGCUGCCCAUGAGGAAUCACUCAAAGACACCUUCAAAUAAAAGGCUCCCUCAAUGGAACUCUCCCUCUGCAUUGAUCUGAUUGACAGGAGAAAUCCCAAGACUUAAGCAAAUCACAGAAAUGGAGGAAACCCUGCUCUCAGGAUUCCCAGCAGUGUAGUAGAUCAACAGACCUGCACAGACUUCUGAAUCAGAUUUCUCACCUGAAAUCAGUGUCAGGGUGGUUGUCACGGUACUUCCUCAAGCAGCAAGUUCUGCAGGACAGGAGCCUUAAGGCAUAAGCAGGUGUUGGGAAUGGCAGCCUUCAGUCUAAAGCUGUGCUUAAAAAUAGAGCCACUACAGACAGACAGGACACUAAUUUUUACCCCUCCUUGAAUGCCCUGGAACUCAGUAUUAGAGCACCUGUCCCAGCAAUUGGCUUUUUUUAAACUCCACAUUUAAAGAUGGUAAAGGCCCCCUCUCUUUCAUGCACUUGUCUGCUACUUAGCUCUUUUAGAAGAACAUGUGGUACAUGUAAUGGUGUAUUUGAAGGCAAAAGUGUCACUUGCAAUGAGAAGGGUGGAAAUUAACCUCAAUACUUUUUCCAUGUUCGUUUUGAUUAAAGGGUAUUCUCUUUCCAGCAGCAUUUUCUCUCAUGAGCAGCUCCACUGAGGUCAGUGAGACUGCUUUUCAGGCUGUAGGAUUUACCUCUUGAUGAAUAUAACCCAAAAAAGACAAGUGGAAAAU